rnacentral:rRNA from 1 species
AGCGUUGCUCGGAAUUACUGGGCGUAAAGGGCGCGUAGGCGGUCUUCCAAGUCAGUGGUGAAAGCCCGGAGCUCAACUCCGGAACUGCCAUUGAAACUGUUAGACUUGAGGACGAGAGAGGUGAGUGGAAUUCCCAGUGUAG